rnacentral:lncRNA from 1 species
UCAGAAAAUACAUAAUUAAUAAAAUUCAAUAAUACAUAAUAAUAGGUGUAGUAAACAUACAUUUAUUCCAAUGAAUAGCAUUAGUAAUGUAUAUUUCAAGUUUUAAACGUGUGAUUGGUAAGAUAGUACAUUAUUCUUUAAAAAAAACAUUAAUGAUACUUUUGUGAUGGUUUGUCUCAGUAUUUAUUGAAAGGGCAAUCAAAUAUUGACACCAGCAAAAAGAAAGUAACCCAUUUUUUGCAGAUUUUCAUCGAUAGGGGUAAAACAGAAACCAGGCAGCUAAAAUGCGAAUGAUGUUUAUGGUACUGAUAUUGUAUCAGCCUCUCACGCUCAUUUUAGGAUUUAAAGUUCUGUUCCGGUAAUUAUGAUGUCAAAGAUGCAAUACAUACUGGAGGGCCAAUUGUCGAAAAUGUGGAAAAUAUUUGGAAAUCUUAGAGUCCUUCCAUUAAGAAAGCCAUGUUUUCAUAACCUAUAAGAUAAAUAUUAAAGAAAAAAAUAAUUGAUUUUUUGUACACUUAUUAUUUAAAUCUAUUUAUAUUCUAAUUCUAAUUAAUUACUGGAAUAUAGGCAAACCAACAAAACUCAUUGAUACGGGUUCACGUUUAAUUCCAUCCUCCAAUGACUGCUGGCCUCCAAAACACGAGAUACAAGCUAAUAGACUAGCUUUGUACAUACAAGUUCCCAAUGGGUUUUUAAAUGAGGAAUAAAGAGUACUUGGACGUUAUGAGGAAUAUAGGGAAACCUUAGAUUGAUUUCAAUUUUGCUUGGCUCGCCAAUGGUGCUCCUUGUUACGACAACAAGGAGACCCAAAAGUGAUCCGUAUAGUGUAAGGGCUAUACUAUUACUCACAGAAAAGUGGAUAACCUCAAAGAGAAUGGACCAAUAUGUCAGAGGACCUUUAUAUCAAUUUUGACAAUGCCUUCCGACAUCGUGUUACGACUAUAGUUAGUGUUAAAUGAUCAGAUUUAAGUGGAUUAUAUAGUGUAUAGCUUGGUUAUUAAAUUGGAAAAAGUAAAAAACCUUGUAUGACUUUUUUUUUCUCUAAUUAUGUACUUUUCAAGCUUCCUUUUGUCAAGUGU